UACGGGGGGGGCAAGCGUUGUUCGGAAUUACUGGGCGUAAAGGGCUCGUAGGCGGCCAACUAAGUCAGACGUGAAAUCCCUCGGCUUAACCGGGGAACUGCGUCUGAUACUGGAUGGCUUGAGUUUGGGAGAGGGAUGCGGAAUUCCAGGUGUAGCGGUGAAAUGCGUAGAUAUCUGGAGGAACACCGGUGGCGAAGGCGACAUCCUGGACCAACACUGACGCUGAGGAGCGAAAGCCAGAGGAGCAAACGGG
rnacentral:rRNA from 1 species